AAUGUCAUACUGGUCAUAUGUCAUAAUACUUUCCCGCGCACGUCUUGUUUACUUGUGUUGUUGUUCCAGUCUUCUUUGUUAUAAAUUAAAUUGAAUUAAACCAGUUUUUAUCAAAACUACAACGAUUGAAAACAGCGAUUAAGGUUAAGAUGGGGUACACUCUUGAACAAAAUUCGUUUAUUGUUGUCUUACUAUCGAAAUGGGACGUUAAAUGCGGACGGGGAAUGGGUGUAUUCUGUUCAAGCUUGCAAGGAUGAGUAUUUGGCAAACUUUCCAGAAUUAAACAUUGAAGAACAGUCUUUAAUGACACACAUAAAAAGAAUCGUUGACUGAUUCAACAGCACUGGAAAUGUUUCUAAAGGCAAGUCACCAGGAAGGCCUCCAGUGAGUGAAGAGGUCGUCGAAGAUUUGAGGGAACGAAUGGAGCAAAGCCCAAAAAAAUCUUUGAGUAAACUGUCUUUGCAAUCUGGUGUCCCAUACACCACUUGUCAGAAAGUUUUAAAAAGAACAUUACAUAUGCAUCCCUAUAAAGUAUCGUCAGUCCAUGAACUUAAACCAGCUGAUUAUCCUCGUGUUGCAUAUUGGGAAUGGUUUCAAAACAACAUGAACAACAACAGAAUUUUGGAUGUCAUUUUUUUCCGAUGAAGCAUGGUUUCAUCUAAAUGGCUACGUUAAUUCGCAAAAUUAUAGAGUUUGGAUUGCUGAAAAUCCUUUUGUUUUUGAAAAGAAGAAUUCCCCGAGUACCCAGAGCAGUGAUUAUACUGUACCAAAAAAUUUUGUGAUGCCUCAAAUUGUAGACGAGCAAGCAAAUGUGAAAGAUUGUUGUUCAUCUAGCUCGUUUUCCAGACUUCAUUGGCGCCUUGGACUGCAUAUGCACAUAUAAAAAUUAAAUUACCAGGUGGAGAAGAUCCAGAAAUUUUUAGAAAUCAGGAAGAUUAUCUCUUGAUUAAUGUACAAGCCAUAUGUGAUGAAAUGAUUAAAUUUCAAAUAUUGUGGCACAAUGAUCAGUAGCUACAAAUGAUAGUACUAUUUUUAAUCAUUGUUCAGUUUAAGAUCUGUUUGAAAAUACACAACUGCAAAGUUGUGUGCUCUUGGAUAGAAUAUUUUAAGAGAAUUUUAUUAUAUUAUUAUAUUUCUAAGUAACAAGUUAUCCCUUAAAAAAAUACUUGUUGACACUGCUGAUAUAUCCCGUUACUCCAGCACAACAGCUCUAUUAUCAGUGACACAUUGGAAGCCGCAAUAGAAUUGGGUGCACAUUUGGGAUUCUGAAACGACAGUUUCCUGUGUUAACAGUUGUGAUUGUCGCUGUUGUUUUACACAACAUUUUAAAACAGAUUGUAAUAUUUGACAGUAA